rnacentral:rRNA from 1 species
CUUAACACAUGCAAGUCGAACGAUGAACCAGCUUCGGUGGGGAUUUGUGGCGAACGGGUGAGUAACACGUGGGCAAUCUGCCCUGCACUCUGGGACAAGCCCUGGAAACGGGGUCUAAUACCGGAUACAACCACUGACCGCAUGGUCGGGUGGUGGAAAGCUCCGGCGGUGCAGGAUGAGCCCGCGGCCUAUCAGCUUGUUGGUGAGGUAGUGGCUCACCAAGGCGACGACGGGUAGCCGGCCUGAGAGGGCGACCGGCCACACUGGGACUGAGACACGGCCCAGACUCCUACGGGAGGCAGCAGUGGGGAAUAUUGCACAAUGGGCGAAAGCCUGAUGCAGCGACGCCGCGUGAGGGAUGACGGCCUUCGGGUUGUAAACCUCUUUCAGCAGGGAAGAAGCGAAAGUGACGGUACCUGCAAAGAAGCGCAGGCUAACUACGUGCCAGCAGCCGCGGUAAUACGUAGGGCGCCAAGCGUUGUCGGAAUUAUUGGGCGUAAAGAGCUCGUAGACGGCUUGUCACGUCGGUUGUGAAAGCCCGGGGCUUAACCCCGGGUCUGCAGUCGAUACGGGCAGGCUAGAGUUCGGUAGGGGAGAUCGGAAUUCCUGGUGUAGCGGUGAAAUGCGCAGAUAUCAGGAGGAACACCGGUGGCGAAGGCGGAUCUCUGGGCCGAUACUGACGCUGAGGAGCGAAAGCGUGGGGAGCGAACAGGAUUAGAUACCCUGGUAGUCCACGCCGUAAACGGUGGGCACUAGGUGUGGGCAACAUUCCACGUUGUCCGUGCCGCAGCUAACGCAUUAAGUGCCCCGCCUGGGGAGUACGGCCGCAAGGCUAAAACUCAAAGGAAUUGACGGGGGCCCGCACAAGCGGCGGAGCAUGUGGCUUAAUUCGACGCAACGCGAAGAACCUUACCAAGGCUUGACAUACACCGGAAAGCAUUAGAGAUAGUGCCCCCCUUGUGGUCGGUGUACAGGUGGUGCAUGGCUGUCGUCAGCUCGUGUCGUAAGAUGUUGGGUUAAGUCCCGCAACGAGCGCAACCCUUGUCCCGUGUUGCCAGCAACUCUUCGGAGGUUGGGGACUCACGGGAGACCGCCGGGGUCAACUCGGAGGAAGGUGGGGACGAAGUCAAGUCAUCAUGCCCCUUAUGUCUUGGGCUGCACACGUGCUACAAUGGCCGGUACAAUGAGCUGCGAUACCGUGAGGUGGAGCGAAUCU